ensembl:lncRNA
CAGGGCUUUAGAUUUGAGUUUUCAGAAAGAACGAGAGUUUUUGUUUAUCUUCUUUCUGAGAAUGACCAUGUGAUAAAUGGGUUAAUGCCCUUGAGAGAUGUCUAUUAUCAGGAAUAAAUGGGCUGUGCGGAGGUCACGACAGGAGAAAGUCAACUCGUUCUUGGUGAUUGCAGUGAGCAAUCUAGAAGCACUUAAGGAUCUUCUCCUCUGCUUUCCACACAAACGACUGUUUCAGCUCCCGGCUGGCAGGUGUUGCAAGUGGAUAAAGGAGGGAAAACCUCAAAGUGGCACUUCAGGUGGAGGUUAAGUCUCGCAUCAAACAGAGCGGUGUGGGAGCUUUAUACUCAUGCCAAAAAAUUAUAACUCACAAGUACAAAAAAACAUUGCAACAGGUAACAGGGAGUUCAACCAGAUGCUCUUUAGAAAUACAGUAGAUUUGUCUCCAUAUCUGGUAUAUUACACUUCUCAUGCACUGAUUUGACACCAUACUUAUACAUGUGUUAAACCAACUAAUUACUACAGCUUGUUGCUGUCAAAUUGGUGUGACAUCAGUGUAUUAAUUCAUCCAGCAGAGAUGUGACAUGAUGGAUGAGUGAAGGGACAUGAGGUUACAGAGCAUCAGGUCCUGUGUACAAGUAGUCCUGACUGUCCUCAUUAAGGGCUCCAUCCUUAUAGCCUCAAUCCCUUUCUUGAACCUUGUCCCUAAAAUAAAAAUACAA